rnacentral:rRNA from 1 species
GACGAACGCUGGCGGCGUGCCUAAUACAUGCAAGUAGAACGCUGAAGGAGGAGCUUGCUCUUCUGGAUGAGUUGCGAACGGGUGAGUAACGCGUAGGUAACCUGCCUGGUAGCGGGGGAUAACUAUUGGAAACGAUAGCUAAUACCGCAUAAGAGUAGAUGUUGCAUGACAUUUGCUUAAAAGGUGCAAUUGCAUCACUACCAGAUGGACCUGCGUUGUAUUAGCUAGUUGGUGGGGUAACGGCUCACCAAGGCGACGAUACAUAGCCGACCUGAGAGGGUGAUCGGCCACACUGGGACUGAGACACGGCCCAGACUCCUACGGGAGGCAGCAGUAGGGAAUCUUCGGCAAUGGACGGAAGGCUGACCGAGCAACGCCGCGUGAGUGAAGAAGGUUUUCGGAUCGUAAAGCUCGGUUGUAAGAGAAGAACGAGUGUGAGAGUGGAAAGUUCACACUGUGACGGUAUCUUACCAGAAAGGGACGGCUAACUACGUG